AUUGAACGCUGGCGGCAGGCAUAAAAAAGGAAAGUCGAACGAGUGGCGGACGGGUGAGUAAUGUCUGGGAAACUGCAUGAUGGAGGGGGAAAACUACUGGAAAAGGUAGAAAAUACCGCAUAAACAGCGAUGAGCCCAGAUGGGAUUAGCUUGUUGGUGGGGUAACGGCGAAACAAGGGGACGAUCCCUAGCUGGUCUGGGAGGAUGACCAUCCACACUGGAACUGAGACACGGUCCAGACUACUACGGGAGGCAGCAGUGGGGAAGAUUGCACAAUGGGCGCAAGCCUGAUGCAGACAUGCCGCGUGUAUGAAGAAGGCCUUCGGGUUGUAAAGUACUUUCAGCGGGGAGGCGUUACCCGCAGAAGAAGCACCUCCUCCCUCCUUGCCAGCAGCCGCGGUAAUUC
rnacentral:rRNA from 1 species